UAAACCUGCUCCCGGGCUACGGGCGGGAGCCUGCUGGGCGCGCGGCGGGGGGCGCGCGGCGCGAGGAGGGGGCGACGGUGCAGCCAAUCAGAGCGGCGGCCGGCGCACCCCCACGCACCCACCCCGCGGCCCCGCCGCCGCCCUCUUCCUGCCCCUCUGGGUCCGGGAGAGCGGCCGCCCGGAGGGGCGGGGGACCCACACCGGAGGCCGGGCUCGCGUACCCAGGGGUAAUGAGAGGCCCUGAGAUCCCAGAGGUACCAUUCGAGAAGCCUUGGAUGUGUUGAGUUCUCUGCUUCCUGCAGACACACGGAGAGACAGAACCAGAGGGCAACCCACCAGGAAAGCCACUGAGCUGUGUGCACCAAGCCCAUCACUCAAGGAGGAGGAUGACCCAGCAGAUCGGCAAGUGGCCAAGAGGAGCUCCCCACUGCCUUCUCCUCUUAGCACGAGUACAGUGUGGUAUGCCCCCUGACCUCUCUUCCUUCCUCCUCCGGGACUAAGCCAUGACUGGACAUGACAAUAAGGAACUCGUCCUUGCCUGAACCUGUCCUAAGUCAAAACAGCCUGCCUGUCUUGGUCACAGUGUUUUAAUUUCCAUCUCCAUCACCUUCCUUGAUGCGGCACCACUACAAGCAAAUGCCACCGGAAAUGGCCUCUUCUCCCCAGACGCUGGCUCACAAACGGAGCAGCCCCCAGAGGUGAAUUUACCUGCCUUGAGCCCAGGUUCUGGGCUCUCCCACCUGACGCUUCAACCUCCAGCGGAGAAAGGAGUCUCUCUAGGAAAAAGAUCUAGGACCAACUGAGAAGUACAUUUCUAAAUCACCAGUUACUUUAAUGAGUAAGUACUUUGAGUUUUCCCAUUUUAUUUUAAGCAAUACUAUUUCACAUUUCUGACCAGCCUUUCUUAGGAUCCUCAUUUUUGGGGCACUUAAUGUAUAGGAAGGAAUCACCAGCCUAGUCUACUCCACCCCACCUCCACUUAACUGAAGAGUCCUAAAGAGACAACUGUUAUCAUUGUAAUAUUGUCUAAUAAGGGUGCAUGACUGAUAAGCCACUAAAUCUCUAACAGCAUACAGUGCAGGGAAACAGUGAGCUGUGAACUGGAGAAAAGAGAUGACGCUUCUAUUGUCUGUGUAAUCUUAUAUGUUGUGGUUGACCACAAAGGCUUGGCAUCGGUUAUGACUCCUAGCUCUGCUUUUUAUAAAAUGGAUGACCUUGGGCAGAUGACUCAAUCUUUUAAUUUUUGAAUGUGUAAAAUGGAGAAAAUGAAGUACCAAUUUUAUCCAGGUCUUAAGAGGAAUAAAUAGAGGAGCCAAAACACUGAGCAUACUGUUGAGAGGGUACUAAACAAUGUCACUAAAUAAUAAGUUACAUUUUUAAAUAAUAAGAUAAAACUUCAUUUCACUGGACAGUUUCCUUAACUGCUAAGUCCCAUCCCCCAGAUAUGCUGAGAUGACUCAGAAUAACAUUUAACAUCCAUGGAGUUUACAGAUCAUUUCAUUUCCACAAUUAACCCUGAGGUAGGCAGUGCCGUUGGAUUAGUUUUGUUACUGAGGGAUAAGGGGUAAGAGCUCUGUUGAACACACAGUAGGAACAAACUCUUAGGCCCAAACUCAGAUCUGAAGGGAGGAAAGCAUGACUUGGGAAAGGCCUGGUGUGGUGGUGGGUUCAGUUUCCUUGGUCCUCUCCCCUCCUGCACCUGGUUCCUCCUCUUGUUCCCAGCCUUGGGCUUGAAACCUAGGGAAAUCCCACCCAGAGCAGUGGGAACCCAGACCUUCCAGAUCCCUCUACCAAAUAGUGUUGGUAGGGAGCAGACAGAAACUGGCUCUUAGAAUCCCCAUUUUCCCAUUCAAAACCUUUGUUCCCCAUAGAAACCUAUCUGAAUACUAGAUAAUAUUGUUUAAAAAUAAUACCAACAGCAAUAAUAAAAUAAUGUCAUUUUAAAAGCUCUUCUGGACAAUCUCCCUAGAGGAACAUAGGGGCCAUUUCUCCAACUUCAAGCUUAAACACACAGAGGUAAAGUGAGCAUUGGUGGUGGCAGAAACCUUUGGCCUGCUGACUCAGACUAGUGCUCUCAUCGUUGGUUAAAUGGGCUUCUGUGGCCCUUCCUAGAGACAGAAUUUUCAGAAUCCAACCUGUUCAUCAGUUGAAAGUAAUUUAGUCAAUAUUAGCACCCCCACCCCAACCCUUUACAAUCAUGGAAACUUCUUACUCAACUGUUGAAUCUAGAGUAGUUAUGAUCUAGAGUAGUCAAUGUAAGUAUAGAAACAUUUGAAACACAAAUGUGGCUUUAGUGCAGCCCUGACUUUCCCACUGACUCACUCAGAACUGUUAACUAUAAGUGGUAAAAAACAACUAGGUUCACUUCAUACUUGUCCUGUUUUCACAAAGAAAAAUUUAAAGCUGUGCACACAGCAUUGCUUUGUUUUGUUUAUCAACAGAGGAAAAAAAAAGGAAAACUAUAUGCAACUCUUUUUCUUUUUGGUAAAAUUAUUUUUUCCUCUUGAUUUCACUAUAUAUGUAUAGCUGAGGUUAAAAGCUCAGUCUCUGGAGCCAUAUUUCCUCCUAAAGAAGCAAAACAAAAUCUUAUGCUUAUCUAAUCAAGCAGAAGAGUCACUGUCCAUAAGGGAUGAGUGCUGUCUCUUCUCAGCAGCUGUACAAACUUGGAUGAUUGACAUAACUUCUCCCAGCCUCAGUUUACUCAUCUGUAAAAUGGGUAUAACAGUUCCUUCUUCACUAGGUCCUGAGUAUAGAAGAGGCCUUGCACAGGGUAAAUGCUCAAUGGGUAAUAACCAUAUUCUGCCUCAGACACUGGUCCAUGAGGGGUACAAGGAUAGGUGAGGCCCAUUUCUGCUCCCCAGGACUAGGAUGUACUGGAGUAGGAAGACACAUGGACAGUUAAUUAUACAGUAAAGCAGAAAGUCACUCAGUCAUGUUCGACUCUUCGCAACCCCGUGGACUGUAGCCCGCCAAGCUCCUCUGUCCAUGGAAUUCCCCUGGCAAGAAUACUGGAAUGGGUAGCCAUUCCCUUCUCCAGGGGUCUUCCUAACCCAGAGAUCGAUCCCUGGUCUCCUGCAUUGUAGGCAGAUUCUUUACCAUCUGAACCACCAGAGAAGCCAGAACCAAGGGCUAAACAGAGGUGUCUGUCAGAGGAAGGGGGGAAUUUUUCUCUCUGGGAAUAGAGAAGGCUCUUAGAACUAUAUUUUAAACUGGGUCUUAAAGAAGGAACAGAAUUUCAGGAGAGGAAGGGGUUAGGGAACACAAUGCUGAGUCACAGAUCAAACAGGGAACGCUUAAGAAAAAGCCCUCUGGGUAUACACGAGCUCGGUAAUUCAUCCACAAGCUUUGGAGAGAUACAUAGAAGGAAGGAUCAUCUCCUAGGUUAAAAAACAAAGUCUAUAAAUGCAAACUGUUGUAGUUAGGCUAGUGUAUCAGAUGAAAAUGAAGAUAUGAAAUUGAGAACUAUGAGAAAACAUGUAUAAAAUAAAAUCUCUCCUAUUUUGAAAAGUUUCAAUCAAAGUAAGACACACUUCCUUAGGGAUUAUGAGAAAUCUAUGGAAAAUAGAAAAGUUAGCCAUAAAAUCUGAAAGAGGUGAAACUGUGCUCAGUUUCCUAAAAUAUACAGCAACAUUCUCAUUCCUAAAGUAUUUUCUAAAAUUACAUCUUUUUUUUUUCUUUUAAUUGCCAAGAAACUGUUGAGCUGAUUCAUAUCCAAGUUGUCACUGAAGAAUUUUGAUGUUUUAGGAAUGGUGGAAAUGGCCACAGUCAUGAAAAAUAAAAAUGACUUGACCCAAGCAUUUUAGAAGCAGAGUUUAUUUCCACCAAGCUAUCCCCAGCCAAUAUUAAGCAUAAAUUAUAUAGCAGUUCUCUGAAAGUGCACAGAAAAAUAGACCACCGUCAUUCCCAUGGAUGAUCGAUAUUUACCUUUGGAAGGAUUGUUCAAAGGUCACAGGAGUCUUCUGUGAGGAAUUCAGCCACAGUUUGAUGGGAGAAUAGUGGUAUCCAAAGAAUUUACAAGUGAUAAAAAGCCCACACAGACUAAGUCACCUCUUGCUCCUCCCCUGCCCCACCCCCACCCCCACCCCCCCACCCCCCCAACCCCCCACCCCCCGUAGUAAAUCUCACCUGAACUCAUCAAAUUCUACUCUCUAGAACGUCAGGAACUCAGGAGACAAGUUUGAGAUAGCUAAAUUUAUUCACUUAAAAAUAUGGUAGACCGUAUGCAAAGGCCUUCAUAUGUGUUCAUUUAACCCUUGAUUCUAAAAGAAGUCCGUUUUAGUAUUCCUGUUUUGUACGUAAGAUUUCUUAAAUGCAGAGAGAUUACAUUAUCGCCCCAGGGUCUCAGAGGCUAAUAAAGCAAUGGAGCAGGGUUUAAACCCAGGGGGCUAACUCGAGGGCCCACCUUCUCAGCCUCUGUGCUUUUAAGGCCCCAAUUCGGAGUCAUCUGCAUACAAAUAGUAAGUGAUAUGGGGACUGUACCGUUUGUUUCCAUCCUAACUAGGAUUUUUAGGGGAAGGGUGGAGAUCAACAAUUAGUCUGGAAAAACAGAGGUAAACCAGAACUGUGGGGACAAAGAGGGCUUUCUGUUCACCUUACGGGUGGACGCAGAGAGCGUGGAUGAAUUUACCGAGGGAAAGAAUGCUGAAGAAAAUAAGGAGGGAGGCAGUGAGUGGGCCUUGAGAAAGACCGACGUUUGGGGAUCGCCAGAGAAAGAGAAACUCACGAAGGAUAUGGGGGAGGUGAGACAGGCGGCCACGGUGUCAGACUCUCGGGCAGGGUUACAGAGGGGAAUCUUCCGCAGUGCCCCAGCCCCGGGGAGCUAGGAAUGCUAUAGAUGUGAUAAGGCCCAAGAAGCAGCCGCUGAAAGGAACAAGGAAAUCGUUGGGGAUUUGCUGACAAACGUUUCUUCGCUUUGGUGGAGCUGGAAGCCAAAUUUCAAGUAAACGGAGGAGUGAGUGGGAGUCAACAGUUAUGGCAACUGACGAAGGGACCCAGCAUGGACUUCCCUUCACCUGAACUCUUUGAGGAACUAGAGCCUUGGCACCAUCUGCCCAUCUGCCUCCUUGGACAGUCCAGACAAAUUGGGAAAAACAUCCCCAGGAAAACUAGAGGCAUUUUCCUAAAGCAGACAGAAGGACGUGAGAAGCCGUUGUAUGGUACGGCUGGAUCACAGAUGGGAGGGAUCUAAAAUUCACUAUGGCAAUUGAAAGGGCUGAAAAAAAAAUCACCUAUUUCUGUAAUGGCAGACAUUCUAGAAGCAUCACACAUGAAAUGAACAAAUCCGCUCCUUAAGCUCUCCAACCCAGGGAUCGAACCCACACCCCUGGCAUGGGAAGGUGAAGUCUUAACCACUGGACCUCCAGGGAAGUCCUUCUUCAAUUUUUAAAAAAAAUUAGAUAUUUUGUAUAUGGGAUUUUAAACUCAAAGGUGAUACAAUUUCUCUUCCAAGUGAAAUACUAGACAGAGAGCAAGGCAUAUUCUGGCUGCUGUUCCAACCAGAUACUUAAAAACUGCCUUAGAAGAGAAAAGUAGGGCCCUUCUCCAAAGACCAGGCCUUGCUUCUUGGGUGAGAGAGAUAAGGAGCAGAAGGCCAGCUUGGGGACAAAGGGCUUUGUGAAAAACACCGAGGAACAGAGCAGUCCUCUUGUUUUCCCACAAGAAUGAUGACAAUCUACCUUAAAUCCUUUUUGGAAUAAGCAGCAGGGUUUGGGAGGUGGUAUUGAGUGAAUAAAUUAAUAUAUAAUCAGAUCAGAUCAGAUCAGUCGCUCAGUCGUGUCCGACUCUUUGCGACCCCAUGAAUCGCAGCACGCCAGGCCUCC